GUGGGCAAGGCUCAGUGGUAGAGCACAUGCUUAGCAUGCACCAGGUCCUGGGUUCAAUCCCCAGUACCGCCA
rnacentral:tRNA from 1 species